AGCAUAUCAAUAAGCGGAGGAAAAGAAACCAACUGGGAUUGCCUUAGUAACGGCGAGUGAAGCGGCAAUAGCUCAAAUUUGAAAGCUGGCGUCUUUGGCGUCCGCGUUGUAAUUUGUAGAGGAUGCUUCGGCGAGGGCUCCGGUCUAAGUUCCCUGGAACGGGACGUCAUAGAGGGUGAGAAUCCCGUAUGUGAUCGGUUGCCUAAGCCAUGUGAAGCUCCUUCGACGAGUCGAGUUGUUUGGGAAUGCAGCUCUAAAUGGGAGGUAAAUUUCUUCUAAAGCUAAAUACCGGCCAGAGACCGAUAGCGCACAAGUAGAGUGAUCGAAAGAUGAAAAGCACUUUGGAAAGAGAGUUAAAAAGUACGUGAAAUUGUUGAAAGGGAAGCGCUUGCAACCAGACUCGUCCGCAGUUGCUCAGCCGGUCUCUUGACCGGCGUACUCUUCUGCGGCCGGGCCAGCAUCAGUUCGGGCGGCCGGAUAAAGGCCUCGGGAAUGUAGCACCCUUCGGGGUGUGUUAUAGCCCGGGGUGGAAUGCGGCCAGCCUGGACUGAGGAUCUCGCUUCGGCUAGGAUGCUGGCGUAAUGGUUGUAAGCGGCCCGUCUUGAAACACGGACCAAGGAGUCUAACAUCUAUGCGAGUGUUUGGGUGUCAAACCCAUGCGCGUAAUGAAAGUGAACGGAGGUGGGAACCCUCACGGGUGCACCAUCGACCGAUCCUGAUGUCUUCGGAUGGAUUUGAGUAUGAGCAUAGCUGUUGGGACCCGAAAGAUGGUGAACUAUGCCUGAAUAGGGUGAAGCCAGAGGAAACUCUGGUGGAGGCUCGCAGCGGUUCUGACGUGCAAAUCGAUCGUCAAAUUUGGGUAUAGGGGCGAAAGACUAAUCGAACCAUC
rnacentral:rRNA from 2 species